UACUGCAAACAAAUUCAUUUAUACGAAUGAAAAAAAUCGUUUUAUUAAAUUCAAGUCAACCGAAAUUAUAACUAAUUAAAACAUUUCCAUUAAUUUUACAUAUAUAUUAACCAGGUUUUUUUUUUUUUUCUCUAUAUUUAUCUGCAAUCGGCUCUAUAGCCAUAAUCAGAUGUGUUCCAAGAAGUUCGAGUUAUAUUAACUAGGUAAAAAUUAUUUGUCUACUGUUUGCUUUUAUGUAAUCUGUAAAACUCUGUCUUAAUAAUUAUGGAGGGUAGAGGUGAGGACAACCGUCUGUGUGUAAAAAGUGUCCGUUAAAAUCUGUUAAAUAAGGGUGGCGCUACAGUAGCAACCAGGUUAAUUUUGGAAAAGGCACUGAAAGUUAUUAGAAUAAGAUAGAGAAAUAAAAAAGGAUGAAAGAACUGCAAAGAACUCUACAAAAUCACAAAAGUAUUUUAUUUAAAGCUGAUAAGAAAAUACAAUCGAUGUCUCCACGUUUUACCACAACAACAAUUUUAGGUUAUAUUGACGAAAUUCGUUUGGACUACGUAAACAUGUGAGGUCUUGUAUAUUACAUUGUCACUAUCUACUCUAGUCAUGAAAUAUAUUAAAUUUCCUAACUCAGCAUACUUCAAUCAGUUAACAGCUGCUCAAUUCAUAUCAUACCCUGUGCCUAUGCUAGCGUCAUUCUGGAGGAUUUUUGAACUGUUAUUUAGUGCUGAAAGUGGAAAACUUUUUCAAGCUUCACCCUUAUGAGACGGUUCUCCUUACCUCUACCCUCCAUACGAAUACUAUUCCUGUGUAGUUUUUGCCAAAAGAGGCAUUUUUAGAUUUCAAAGAUCACUUCAUUUUCUGACACAAAGGUAUAAACUAGGUAACAGAUUAGCUUGGAACUGACAUUAAGUUUACUAGCACUCAGGAAUAAAGAAUUACGAUUAGUUUUAGUGUUACCAAUAAACUUACCUGAAUUUCGUGGGGAACAAUUCAACGGCAACCGCAUUCAUGAGGCCGAUGCAAGCGCCGCACAUUUGAAAGAUGGCGAACAGAACUACCGCGAGAUGUUGGCUGGAGGCCAGGUGGGCGCCGAUCCCGCAAAGUCCGGUGGCGCUCAGAAGCGCGAUGAGGAUCGGCUUCUUCCCGAUGAAGUCCACGAGGAAGCCUACGACGAUGUACAUGGAGCAGAACACGAGCCCUAUAUAGAUCGAGAGCUCGAAAGUCGUAGUGUUCAUUGUAUCGUCGCACGCUAUCUGAAAAAGUCGAUAUCUUUAUUUGUAUAACACAAUUUUGAUGCAUUAAAUACUGUUUCGAUGGUGCAUAUCUAUAUAUACAUACAUUUAAAUAAAAUUGGAGUAUCUGUUUGUAAUAUUGAAA